rnacentral:ncRNA from 1 species
ACAGUACAAACUGAACAGACCGUGUUAUAUGUCUAUGUAUAUCAUGGAGUCGGGUCGCAUAAAGCGACAGUGGAAGCUUUCAUCCACGGGACAGU